UCUGGCGGGUCAAAGUCAAGUGUCGAAGUGGGGCAAGAAGCUGCUGCAAAACAACGAGGUGUGCCAAACGUAGGUAACAGGACAGCGCGGGCUCUGUGCCAGAAGAGGAACUUAAUUUCUUCGCUGAGAAAUGAAACAGAGAUGUGAUUGGAAGUGCCACGCUUUGGAGGUGUCCUCUGUGUGAUGAACUGUGACCAGGAGCACAAUCAGGACAGACCUCUGGGAAAGGAUGGAGCUAAAUCCCCUCAAGGUUUCAAGCCCAGCCCAGGAUUUGGGGCAGGAUGCUGGAAGG